rnacentral:lncRNA from 1 species
AGAGGAGUUAUAACCCAGUCAGUAUAGAGGAGUUAUUACCCAGUCAGAUAUAAGGAGUUACACCCAGUCAGAUAUAGAGGAGUUAUUUACCCAGUCAGAAUAUAGAAGGGAGUUUACCCAGUCAGAUAUAGGAGUUAUUAACCCGGUCAGAUAUAGAGGAGUUAUAACCCAGUCAGAUAGAGGAGUUAUUAACCCAGUCAGAUAUGAGGGUUAUUAACCCAGUCAGAUAUAGAGGAGUUAUUUACCAGUCAGAUAUAGAGGAGUUAUCACCAGUCAGAUAUAGAGGAGUUAUUUACCCAGUCAGAUAUAGAGGAGUUAUUAACCCAGUCAGAUGAGUUAUUCACCCAGUCAGAUAUAGAGAGUUUAACCCAGUCAGAGAUUAUAUUAACCCAGUCAGAUAUAGAGUUAGUUGAUUGAUACCCAGUCAGAGGAGUUAUUAACCCAGUCAGAGGAGAUUUACCCCAGUCAGAUAUAGAGAGUUAUUUUACCAGGUCAAUAUAGAGGAGGUAUUUAACCCAGUCAGAUAUAGAGGAGAUAUUUACCCAGUCGAUAUAGGGGUUAUUUACCCAGUCAGAUAGAGAGGGUAUUACCCAGUAGAUAGAGAGAUUAUACCCAGUCGAUAGAAGAGUUAUUAGACCCUCAGAUAUAGAGGAGUUUUUAACCCAGUCAGAUAUAGAGGAGUUAAACCCAGUCAGAUAUAGAGGAGUUAUUUACCAGUUAUUUACCUAAGAGAUAUAGUUAUUACCCAGUGUAUUUACCCAGUCAGAUAGAGAUAGUUUACCCAUCAGAUAAGAGGAGUUAUUAACCCAGUCAAAGGAGUGAUUAACCCAGUCAGAUAUAGAGAGUAAUAACCCAGUCAGAGGAGUUAUUAACCCAGUCAGAGGAGUUAUUAACCCAGUCAGAUAUAGAGGAGUUAUUAACCCAGUCAGAGGAGUUAUUAACCCAGUCAGAUAUAGAGGAGUUAUUAACCCAGUCAGAUAUAGAGGAGUUAUUAACCCAGUCAGAUAUAGAGGGGUUAUUAACCCAGUCAGAUAUAGAGGAGUUAUUAACCCAGUCAGAUAUAGAGGGGUUAUUUACCCAGUCAGAUAUAGAGGAGUUAUUUACCCAGUCAGAUAUAGAGGAGUUAUUUACCCAGUCAGAUAUAGUUUCGUGACUAGAGGAUUUUAGUCACUAAAUUGUUUCCUAUCCCUUUUCCUUUCAAUGACA